AUACUUUUCUUGGCCUUUGGCUAAGAUCAAGUGUAGUAUCUAUUCUUAUCAGUCUAAUACUUGAUACGUGAGUCAUCAAUUAACAUGAUAUUAAAUUAAUUUUUUGAGGGGUAGGGACCUAUUAUAGUAGCUUGCUAAUUGCUAUUGGGGUUUCUUGAGCGUUGCCUUGGCGUUGCAUUAUUGCCUUGGCUUGGUGCAUCUCAC